rnacentral:misc_RNA from 1 species
GCGGAAGUAAAAGUCCGUAAACAAGGUUUCCGUAGGUGAACCUGCGGAAGGAUCAUUAAUAAAUUUUAUUUCUGAAAAUUAUGAAAUAAAAAAACAAUAAUCAUCCUACCCUUUGUGAAUUUGUUGUAAUGAAAUAAUUUUUUUUUAAAAGAAAAAUUAUUUAUUUUAGUCUAUCCCUGAAAAGUUUUGGAAGCAAUGAAGAAACUUUUUAGGGAGUAGAUUUUAAUAAAUAAUUAUUUUUUUUUUGAAAAGACCUUUUUUUUAAAAUUAACUUUUUGUAUUCAUUUGUCUAAAAUUUUUUAAAUAAUAAUUUUAAAAACAACUUUUGACAAUGGAUCUCUUGGUUCUCGCAACGAUGAAGAACGCAGCAAAAUGCGAUAAGUAUGUGAAUUGCAAGAAUACGUGAAUCAUCAAAUCUUCGAACGCAUAUUGCCCUUUUUUAGUUUACUAAAAAAGUAUGUCUGUUUGAGUAUCAGUAAAAUAUUCUCAUAAAAAAAUUUAUUUUUUUUAUGGUUAAUGAGUGUUUACAACGAUACAAGUUGUUUCACUUUAAAUUGAAUUUUAAAAUUGUUUUUUUAUUUUCAAUUUUUAAAAAAAUUGGAUAAAUUUUCCCGUAAAAAGGAAUAACCUUGACAAUUUUUUAAGCUGAAAUUAAGAAUUCAAUAGCAAAAGGAAAUUUAUUUAAAAAUAACUUGAUCUCAAAUCAGAUAAGAGUACCCGCUGAACUUAAGCAUAUCAAUAAGCGGAGGAAAAGAAACUAACAAGGAUUCCCCUAGUAACGGCGAGUGAAGCGGGGAAGAGCUCAAAUUUGAAAUCUUAAAGGGUUUCCCUUUACGAAUUGUAGUUUAAAGAAGUGUUUUCUGUUGAAAUUUUGGUAAAAGUUCUUUUGGAAUAGGACAUCAUAGAGGGUGAGAAUCCCGUAUUUUGACCAUUAUCUCAGCUAUGUGAUACACUUUCAAAGAGUCGGAUUGUUUGGGAAUGCAGUCCAAAAUGGGUGGUAAAUUUCAUCUAAAGCUAAAUAUUGGCGAGAGACCGAUAGCGAACAAGUACCGUGAGGGAAAGAUGAAAAGAAACUUUGAAAAGAGAGUUAAACAGUACGUGAAAUUGUCAAAAGGGAAGCGUUUGACACCAGUGUUGUUUCUCUGAAAAUCAAUUACAGGAAAGUUUUAUGUUAAGUUGUUAAGACUUUAUCAGCUUACUGCUUAAUUUUGAGCUUUUCUUUAAUGCACUUUUCAGUUUACAAGUCAACAUCAAUUUCUUUUGUUGUAAAAAAGGUAAGGGAAAGGUGGCUCAAGCUUCGGCUUAAGUGUUUAUAGCCCUUUGCUUCUGGCAAUCGGAGAGAUUGAGGUCUGCAGCGUAGAUCCUUUUUUGGAUUAGAUACAUUUGUGCUAAGUUACAGCUCUUUAUAGACAACUUGUUGACUAUGAUCAGUCUUGUAGCUUACCUCGCUUAUGCUAUUUUACCUACGCUUAGGAUGUUGAG